rnacentral:rRNA from 1 species
CCUACGGGUGGCAGCAGUGAGGAAUAUUGGUCAAUGGGCGUAAGCCUGAACCAGCCAAGCCGCGUGAGGGAUGAAGGUUCUAUGGAUCGUAAACCUCUUUUAUAAGGGAAUAAAGUGUGGGACGUGUCCUAUUUUGUAUGUACCUUAUGAAUAAGGAUCGGCUAACUCCGUGCCAGCAGCCGCGGUAAUACGGAGGAACCGAGCGUUAUCCGGAUUUAUUGGGUUUAAAGGGUGCGUAGGCGGGCUGUUAAGUCAGCGGUGAAAGUCUGUGGCUAAACCAACGAAUGGCAGUUGAAACUGGGGGUCUUGAGUAUGUGUGAGGAAGGCGGAAUGCGUGGUGUAGCGGUGAAAUGCGUAGAUAUCACGAAGAACCCCGAUUGCGAAGG